UACGGAGGGGGCUAGCGUUGUUCGGAAUUACUGGGCGUAAAGCGCACGUAGGCGGCUUUGUAAGUUAGAGGUGAAAGCCCAGGGCUUAACCCUGGAAUUGCCUUUAAGACUGCAUCGCUUGAAUUGUGGAGAGGUGAGUGGAAUUCCGGAGUGUAGAGGUGAAAUUCGUAGAUAUUCGGAAGAACACCAGUGGCGAAGGCGACUCACUGGACACAUAUUGACGCUGAGGUGCGAAAGCGUGGGGAGCAAACAGGG
rnacentral:rRNA from 1 species